GACGAACCGUGCAAACGUUAUUCGGAAUCACUGGGCUUAAAGGGCGCGUAGGCGGGCUGUCAAGUCUGUGGUGAAAUACUCCAGCUCAACUGGAGAACGGCCGCGGAUACUGGCGGUCUCGAGGGAGGUAGGGGCGUGCGGAACUGUAGGUGGAGCGGUGAAAUGCGUUGAUAUCUACAGGAACUCCGGUGGCGAAAGCGGCGCGCUGGACCUCUUCUGACGCUGAGGCGCGAAAGCUAGGGGAGCAAACGGG
rnacentral:rRNA from 1 species